rnacentral:rRNA from 1 species
UACGUAGGGGGCAAGCGUUAUCCGGAUUUACUGGGUGUAAAGGGAGCGUAGACGGUGAUAUAAGUCAGAUGUGAAAGCCCGGGGCUCAACCCCGGGACUGCAUUUGAAACUAUGUCACUAGAGUGCAGGAGAGGUAAGUGGAAUUCCUAGUGUAGCGGUGAAAUGCGUAGAUAUUAGGAGGAACACCAGUGGCGAAGGCGGCUUACUGGACUGUAACUGACGUUGAGGCUCGAAAGCGUGGGGAGCAAACAGG